GAUUCCGCUUUAUUGUCAUUGUGCACAGUACAAGUACAGAGACAACAAAAAUGUAGUUAGCAUCUAACCAGGAGAGCAAAAUGAAGCAGUAAAGUGUAAGUGUGUUCAGAAUAAAUAAUGCAGCAGAAUAUAUACAGAUUUAAAGUAUUUACAGUAUCUGAAGGGUUAUCAUGUUCUCAGCACAUGAAGGUAUCAAAGCCCCUCUCGUCACCUCUCAUGAAGACGACGCACUGUGUGGCAGAGUUGCUGCAAGAUAGCUGGACUGACGGAACUCAGAAAUCCAGUACACAUCUAGCGCAGGCUGAGGAAGCAACAGCUGGACCGUCUGGGCUUCAGGGGUGCAUGGAGAAGCUGGGCAGAGCUUCCCACUACUGGAGCUGCAGUCACAUGCUCACCUGCAGCAGGUUUGCAAUCAGUGCCUGCUGAUGAACCCUACGGUACCUGCUGCCAGAUGAUUUUAUCAGUUCGUUGCGUGUACACCAGCACACAGUCUUCCAGUCUCCUCCACACAUCUGAAGCUAGCUGCCUUACUCUGUACUCACCUGCCUAACUGUUGGUUGUGAAAUCAAUAAAUCACUUCUUGACCUAC